rnacentral:rRNA from 1 species
UACGUAGGGGGCAAGCGUUGUCCGGAAUCAUUGGCGUAAGAGCGCGUAGGCGGCCCUGUAAGUCCGCUGUGAAAGUCAAGGGCUCAACCCUUGGAUGCCGGUGGAUACUGCAGGCUAGAGUCCGGAAGAGGCGAGUGGAAUUCCUGGUGUAGCGGUGAAAUGCGCAGAUAUAGGAGGAACACCGGAGCGCAAGGGCGGGAUCUCCGCUGG